rnacentral:rRNA from 1 species
CUCGGGGGGGGGAGGAAACCCCCCCUUCUUUUCUUGGGGGGUGGGGGGGGUUUUUUUUUUUUUUUUUUUAACCAAAAAAGGAAAAGGGGGAAAGGGGCCCCCCCCCCCCAAAGGGGGGGGGGGGGGGGGGGGGGGGCCCCCCCCCUUCCCCCUUUGCCUUUUGGGGGGUUUUGAUUUUAAACCCCCCCAAAAGCCCAGGGUUUGGUUUGGUUUCCCUCCCAAAACAAACCGGAAAAUUUUAUCUUUUGGUUUUUUUGGAAUUCCCACCCCACCAAUUUUUGAGGCUUUUGCCAAAAAUUUCUUUAAGCCUGGGGAAAAGGGCCUUGGGGGAGGUUGGGCGCCGCCCCCAAACUAAGUUUCGGUGGGGGAAUGGCCUCCCCUUCGUUUUCGGUGGCGGGAAAGCCAGAAAGGACUCCUGUGGCGGGGGGGGAGGGGAAGAGGGGUUAUCCCUCUCCCUUCUUUCGUUCGCAGCCAUUUCCGCACUUGGCGCGUUUUUCGCCCUUGAACCAUUUCGCAUGUUCAACUGGAUGGAAAUCCCGUGUUCCCGUCCUCUCUGAUCCCUAAAAUAGAAGCUGCGUAAUGGACGCCUUGUCGUAAACCUGCACAGCGGCACGUCCUCGGGAAGUGGUGUCAACCGACGCAGGACGGUGUUGCGCUCAUCGCCCCCUCGCCCCCCACGCAGGCGGGGACCUUGCGUCUCUUGCCUGCAAACCGAACCCCGGCGCGGAACGCGCCAAGGAAAUCGAACCAAAAGAGCCGCGCCGGAGGCCCCGGACACGGUGCGCCCCCGGCGUCGGCAUCUUGCAAAUUAUUUAAAACGACUCUCGGCAACGGAUAUCUAGGCUCUCGCAUCGAUGAAGAACGUAGCGAAAUGCGAUACUUGGUGUGAAUUGCAGAAUCCCGCGAAUCAUCGAGUUUUUGAACGCAAGUUGCGCCCGAAGCCUUUCGGCCGAGGGCACGUCUGCCUGGGUGUCACGCAUCGUUGCCCCCCCCAAACUCCGGUUCGGGCGGGGCGGAAGUUGGCCUCCCGUGCGCGCUUGCGCGCGCGGUUAGCCCAAAAGCGAGUCCUCGGCGACGAGCGCCACGACAAUCGGUGGUUUUUCGACCCUCGUUCCACGUCGUGCGCGCCCCGUCGCCCGAACGCGCUCUUGCGACCCUUACGCGUUGCCUCGGCGACGCUCCCAACGCGACCCCAGGUCAGGCGGGACUACCCGCUGAGUUAUGCAUCAAUACGGUUUUC